UACCCCGGGCCGUCAACCUCGGGAACUGCAUUCAAAACUAGACUGACUAGAGUAUGGUAGAGGGUGGUGGAAUUUCCUGUGUAGCGGUGAAAUAGCGUAGAUAUAGGAAGGAACAACCAGUGGCGAAGGCGACCACCUCGGACUGAUACUGACACUGAGGUGCGAAAGCGUGGGGAGCAAACAGGAUUAGAUACCCCUGGUAG
rnacentral:rRNA from 1 species